rnacentral:rRNA from 1 species
AGUGAACGCUGGCGGUAGGCCUAACACAUGCAAGUCGAACGGCAGCACAGUAAGAUCUUGCUCUUACGGGUGGCGAGUGGCGGACGGGUGAGGAAUACAUCGGAAUCUACUUUUUCGUGGGGGAUAACGUAGGGAAACUUACGCUAAUACCGCAUACGACCUACGGGUGAAAGCAGUGGAUCUUCGGACCUUUCGCGAUUGAAUGAGCCGAUGUCGGAUUAGCUAGUUGGCGGGGUAAAGGCCCACCAAGGCGACGAUCCGUAGCUGGUCUGAGAGGAUGAUCAGCCACACUGGAACUGAGACACGGUCCAGACUCCUACGGGAGGCAGCAGUGGGGAAUAUUGGACAAUGGGCGCAAGCCUGACCCAGCCAUACCGCGUGGGUGAAGAAGGCCUUCGGGUUGUAAAGCCCUUUUGUUGGGAAAGAAAAGCAGCAGGUUAAUACCCCGCUGUUCUGACGGUACCCAAAGAAUAAGCACCGGCUAACUUCGUG